rnacentral:rRNA from 1 species
GACGAACGCUGGCGGCGUGCUUAACACAUGCAAGUCGAACGGAAAGGCCCUGCUUUUGUGGGGUGCUCGAGUGGCGAACGGGUGAGGAACACGUGAGUAACCUGCCCUUGACUUUGGGAUAACUUCAGGAAACUGGGGCUAAUACCGGAUAGGAGCUCCUGCUGCAUGGUGGGGGUUGGAAAGUUUCGGCUGUUGGGGCUGGACGCGCGGCUUAUCAGCUUGUUGGUUGGGUAGUGGCUUACCAAGGCUUUGACGGGUAGCCGGCCUGAGUGGGUGACCGGCCACAUUGGGACUGAGGUACGGCCCAGACUCCUACGGGAGGCAGCAGGGGGGAAUAUGGCACAAUGGGAGGAAGCCUGAUGCAGAAACGCCGCGUGCGGGAUGACGUCCUUCGGGUUGUAAACCGCUUUCGCCUGUGACGAAGCGUGAGUGACGGUACUGGGUAAAGAAGCACCGGCUAACUACGUG